rfam:Schistosoma haematobium scaffold342_27, whole genome shotgun sequence.
ACGUCGGUGGUUUAGAGUUAGAAUGCUCGCCUGCCAUGCGGGCAGUCCUGGUUUGAUUCCCGGCUGGCGCA